UUAAGAUGGCGACCGGCGCACGGGUGAGUAACACGUAUCCAACCUGCCGAUAACUCGGGGAUAGCCUUUCGAAAGAAAGAUUAAUAUCCGAUGGUAUAUUUUCUCCGCAUGGUGAGAAUAUUAAAGAAUUUCGGUUAUCGAUGGGGAUGCGUUCCAUUAGUUUGUUGGCGGGGUAACGGCCCACUAAGACCACGAUGGAUAGGGGUUCUGAGAGGAAGGUCCCCCACAUUGGAACUGAGACACGGUCCAA
rnacentral:rRNA from 1 species